rnacentral:rRNA from 1 species
GGGGUUCCACACGUACCCAUCCCGAACACGACCGUUAAGCCCUCCAGCGCCGAUGGUACUUGGACCGCAGGGUCCUGGGAGAGUAGGACGCCGCCAAGC